GGGGUAACGGCCCACCAAGGCGACGAUCCGUAGCUGGUCUGAGAGGACGAACAGCCACACUGGGACUGAGACACGGCCCAGACUCCUACGGGAGGCAGCAGUGGGGAAUAUUGCGCUAAUGCGGGAAACCGUGACGCAGCGACGCCGCGUGAGGGAAGAAGGCCUUCGGGUUGUAAACCUCUUUCAGCAGGGACGAAGCGAAAGUGACGGUACCCGCAGAAGAAGGACCGGCCAACUACGUGCCAGCAGCCGCGGUAAUACGUAGGGUCCGAGCGUUGUCCGGAAUUAUUGGGCGUAAAGGGCUCGUAGGCGGUUUGUCGCGUCGGGAGUGAAAACACGGGGCUUAACCCCGUGCCUGCUUCCGAUACGGGCGGACUAGAGGUAUGCAGGGGAGAACGGAAUUCCUGGUGUAGCGGUGAAAUGCGCAGAUAUCAGGAGGAACACCGGUGGCGAAGGCGGUUCUCUGGGCAUUACCUGACGCUGAGGAGCGAAAGUGUGGGGGGCGAACAGGAUUAGAUACCCUGGUAGUCCACACCGUAAACGUUGGGCGCUAGGUGUGGGGCUCAUUCCACGAGUUCCGUGCCGCAGCUAACUCAUUAAGCGCCCCACCUGGGGAGUACCGGCCGCAAGGCUAAAACUCAA
rnacentral:rRNA from 1 species